rnacentral:rRNA from 1 species
AAUAGAUACCCGGGUAGUCCACGCCGUAAACGUUGGGCGCUAGAUGUGGGGGCCAUUCCACGGUUUCCGCGUCGUAGCUAACGCAUUAAGCGCCCCGCCUGGGGAGUACGGCCGCAAGGCUAAAACUCAAAGGAAUUGACGGGGGCCCGCACAAGCGGCGGAGCAUGCGGAUUAAUUCGAUGCAACGCGAAGAACCUUACCAAGGCUUGACAUAUACGAGAACACUGCAGAAAUGUAGGACUCUUUGGACACUCGUAUACAGGUGGUGCAUGGUUGUCGUCAGCUCGUGUCGUGAGAUGUUGGGUUAAGUCCCGCAACGAGCGCAACCCUCGUCGCAUGUUGCCAGCACGUAAAGGUGGGAACUCAUGUGAGACUGCCGGGGUCAACUCGGAGGAAGGUGGGGAUGACGUCAAAUCAUCAUGCCCCUUAUGUCUUGGGCUUCACGCAUGCUACAAUGGCCGGUACAAAGGGCUGCAAUCCGUAAGGUGGAGCGAAUCCCAAAAAGCCGGUCUCAGUUCGGA